UGCAAGUCGAGCGGUAGAGAGAAGCUUGCUUCUCUUGAGAGCGGCGGACGGGUGAGUAAUGCCUAGGAAUCUGCCUGGUAGUGGGGGAUAACGUUCGGAAACGGACGCUAAUACCGCAUACGUCCUACGGGAGAAAGCAGGGGACCUUCGGGCCUUGCGCUAUCAGAUGAGCCUAGGUCGGAUUAGCUAGUUGGUGGGGUAAUGGCUCACCAAGGCGACGAUCCGUAACUGGUCUGAGAGGAUGAUCAGUCACACUGGAACUGAGACACGGUCCAGACUCCUACGGGAGGCAGCAGUGGGGAAUAUUGGACAAUGGGCGAAAGCCUGAUCCAGCCAUGCCGCGUGUGUGAAGAAGGUCUUCGGAUUGUAAAGCACUUUAAGUUGGGAGGAAGGGCAGUAAAUUAAUACUUUGCUGUUUUGACGUUACCGACAGAAUAAGCACCGGCUAACUCUGUGCCAGCAGCCGCGGUAAUACAGAGGGUGCAAGCGUUAAUCGGAAUUACUGGGCGUAAAGCGCGCGUAGGUGGUUAGUUAAGUUGGAUGUGAAAUCCCCGGGCUCAACCUGGGAACUGCAUUC
rnacentral:rRNA from 1 species